UGUGUUCGAAUGGACGGUGGAACAGAAAACAUUUUGGUUGAAGACAUGCAAAAGUCAUUUCGAUGGGAACAUGAAGAUGAAAUGGCAGCAGAAAACAGUGUUAUAAAAGCCUCCUCCCACUCCAAUCAAAGAAUGCAUGAGGUUUUGCUUUAUGGAUUUGCUGCAAUACGAGUUGGAUACAAUUCGAAUGGAAUGGAAUCAUCAUAGUGUAAGGAGGUAUAGACAAGCAACACCAUAUGGUAAACCAGAUAUGCUGUUCUACAUCCCAAGUUUGUACGGAGCAAUUGACUAUAAAAUAGCUGUUGAUCAAGGGGAUUUGGAUGCAGUACCUGCAGAAUAUCAGGUGCCCAUUCCGAGGGGUUGUAUGGAUAUUAAUGCAGCACAAUUCCACACUUUUAUGAGUGAAAGAGGUUUGCGUAUGCCAUCUUCAGCGGAUGAAGCAGUCGAGCUCUUCGGACAGCUUGUUGGGAACAUUGAUGGUGCGAUCCUGUGAUUUUGUGCGAAAUUUACUGCUUGUAGAGAAAUUGGUUGAUUUGUUAAAAUGUACUUUUGUUUUCAAUUAUGCAUUUAAAAUCAACAAUGAUUUGGCAUUUAAAGCUGUUUUGAAGUUAAUUAAAAUUAAUAAAAGAGGAAUAGUAAAUUCUGUUUUGUACCAUCCUGUACACGUGAAUUCAACAUUGUCACACUAUCAUAUUCUCCUCUUGAAUUAGGUUAUGUUUGGACAAUUAAGGACUUCGUAGAUGCUUUAACUAUAUAUUAUACAUUGUAAUUAGUGAUUUGUUUUCAAUUUGUGCAAAGGAAAAACGUAUGGUUAGUAAGUAAGGGGAAAGUAUUGUACGUUAAACACAACUAGACGCCAAUAGAAGAGUGCGUGAUUUAAGGGGUGCACUUUUUCAAGGUUUCAGACUAGUUUAAAUCUCAUUUCGAGACGUCUUAAUGAUCACUUGACCCAUAGGAAAAUAAAAUCAUAUGAUAAUUCGAUGAACGGAAUCACAAGACAUAUUAAGAAGCAACGACACAAAGUCACUUAAUGAGUUUUGCCCGAGGUGAUCAUGGCGACGGUAGAACUUUGUGACAACCUUCACCAUCUUGCAGUUUUCGAACCAUCUCUAUGUAGUUCAUUUCUCCGUCAGAAGUUGACAUCUGUCAUCCGUCGAAAAUGUGUGGUGUUGGGAACAGAUCUGAUUUGUCACCAAACUCAACGAAUAUGUUAUCGAAUAGAAUAUGCUCCUGCAAAGUUCACAACUAUGAACUUGUAAUGCCUUUCUUGGAAGGAAAAUAUACCUCUAAUAACUAGAGAAAUAAGACAUUACUUAAGUUUGGAAUGGUAAAGAUUAUAGAUAAAUAAAACAUUUUGACUGAAGAAAUGAUCGUAGGAUGGUGUAUGUCCUAGAUGCCACAAAGAUCUGCGGAAUCAACAUUCAAUUCAUCCCACCUUCGGAGUAAAUAUUAUUCUAUUCAAAUAAAACUGCAUUCAUUAUGACGGAAAGUGCAUUUAUAAUGACCAAUGCUUGACGACUAAGGUGCUAUACAGUACGAUAUUCGGAAUUGCUAUUGUUCUUCUAACCGUAAUAUUCAUAAAUUUGAAACAACUUCUUGAUAUUUCACAAUAUUAACGCAGCUUUAUUAUUAUGUAGGCAUUGCCUAUUAUUUAUCAAAUAAUGAUUCAAUUCAAAGAUCAUGAGCCAUUUCAUUUCAA